CCAGACUCCUACGGGAGGCAGCAGUGGGGGAUAUUGCACAAUGGGGGGAACCCUGAUGCAGCGACGCCGCGUGGGUGAAGGAGCGUUUCGGCAUGUAAAGCCCUAUCGGCAGGGAAGAAGCAAGACGGUACCUGACUAAGAAGCCCCGGCUAACUACGUGCCAGCAGCCGCGGUAAUACGUAGGGGGCGAGCGUUAUCCGGAUUCACUGGGUGUAAAGGGAGCGUAGACGGCCAUGCAAGCCAGGGGUGAAAGCCCGGGGCCCAACCCCGGGACUGCCCUUGGAACUGCAUGGCUGGAGUGCGGGAGGGGCAGGCGGAAUUCCUGGUGUAGCGGUGAAAUGCGUAGAUAUCAGGAGGAACACCGGCGGCGAAGGCGGCCUGCUGGACUGCGACUGACGUUGAGGCUCGAAAGCGUGGGGAGCGAACAGGAUUAGAUACCCUGGUAGCA
rnacentral:rRNA from 1 species